rnacentral:tRNA from 1 species
UGGGGUGUAGCUCAGUGGUAGAGCAUUUACCUACCAGGUGCACAGCCCUGGGUUCAAAUCCCAGUACCACAA